UACAGAGGUGGCAAGCGUUACUCGGAAUUAUUGGGUGUAAAGGGCAGGUAGGUGGCCUAGUAAGUGAGGGGUGAAAUACUGCGGUUCAAUCGCAGAACAGCCUUUCAAACUGCAUGGCUUGAGAGAAAUAGAGGAAGAUGGAAUUCCCGGUGUAAGGGUGAAAUCUGUAGAUAUCGGGAAGAACACCAACGGCGAAGGCAAUCUUCUGGGUUUCUUCUGACACUGAACUGCGAAAGCUAGGGGAG
rnacentral:rRNA from 1 species